UCCCUGGAGGACUAGUGCUUAGGCCUCAGCGCUCUCACCAAUGCGGCCUGGGUUCGAUUCCUGGCCAGGGAA